CCUACGGGCAGCUGCAGUGGGGAAUAUUGGACAAUGGGCGAAAGCCUGAUCCAGCCAUGCCGCGUGUGUGAAGAAGGCCUUCGGGUUGUAAAGCACUUUCAGUGGGGAAGAAGGCCUUGGGGCUAAUACCCUCGAGGAAGGACAUCACCCACAGAAGAAGCACCGGCUAACUCCGUGCCAGCAGCCGCGGUAAUACGGAGGGUGCGAGCGUUAAUCGGAAUUACUGGGCGUAAAGCGCGCGUAGGCGGUCUGAUAAGCCGGUUGUGAAAGCCCCGGGCUCAACCUGGGAACGGCAUCCGGAACUGUCAGGCUAGAGUGCAGGAGAGGAAGGUAGAAUUCCCGGUGUAGCGGUGAAAUGCGUAGAGAUCGGGAGGAAUACCAGUGGCGAAGGCGGCCUUCUGGACUGACACUGACGCUGAGGUGCGAAAGCGUGGGUAGCAAACAGGAUUAGAUACCCUAGUAGUC
rnacentral:rRNA from 1 species